CUAUUAUGCUGGUGCAGAAGUUAUUGUGGUUUUUGCAAUUACUUUUAAUGGCAAAAAUCUCAAUUACUUUUGCACCAACCUAAUAC
rnacentral:miRNA from 1 species